rnacentral:rRNA from 1 species
CAGCCGCCGCGGUAAUACGAAGGGUGCAAGCGUUACUCGGAAUUACUGGGCGUAAAGCGUGCGUAGGUGGUGGUUUAAGUCCGUUGUGAAAGCCCUGGGCUCAACCUGGGAAUUGCAGUGGAUACUGGGUCACUAGAGUGUGGUAGAGGAUAGUGGAAUUUCCGGUGUAGCAGUGAAAUGCGUAGAGAUCGGAAGGAACAUCUGUAGCGAAGGCGACUAUCUGGGCCAACACUGACACUGAGGCACGAAAGCGUGGGGAGCAAACAGGAUUAGAGACCCGCGUAGUCCCUGUCUCUUAUAC